rnacentral:rRNA from 1 species
UACGUAGGGUGCAGGCGUUAAUCGGAAUUACUGGGCGUAAAGGGCGCGUAGGCGGCCUUCUAAGUCGAACGUGAAAUCCCCGGGCUCAACCCGGGAACUGCGUCCGAUACUGGGAGGCUUGAAUCCGGGAGAGGGAUGUGGAAUUCCAGGUGUAGCGGUGAAAUGCGUAGAUAUCUGGAGGAACACCGGUGGCGAAGGCGGCAUCCUGGACCGGUAUUGACGCUGAGGCGCGAAAGCCAGGGGAGCAAACGGG